UAUAUAUAUAUAUAUAUAUAUAUAUAUAAAUUUUCUCUCGACGUGAAAUUCCUUUAUUUGUGAUAUAUAGAAUUUAAUCUGUAUUUUACAUUUUUUCUAAAAGCGAAUUUUUUUUGUUUUGGAGGGUAUUCCUUUGACAAGGAAAAUUCAAAUGAGGUUAUAAACUAAGCCUCAAAAUGAUUUUGAAUAUAUAGAAAUUAACCUAUAGCGAAUGAUAAAUAUUUUAUAAUUUAAAAACACUCAAUUUUCAGAGAAAAAUUUGCAAAGAAUAUGCUUGUAACUCUCCAGACUAAGAAAAAUAUGCGGAUGCGACGAAUAACUUGCGAAAUAAAAAUCUACAAGUACAGCGCGUUCUCAUAAUAGACAGAAAUUAGAAAAUUCAAGAUUCCGUAUCUCUUAAACAAAUCAGAAACUAGCAAAAUUAAACUCGCUCUAAUUUCACGUUUAAUCCAUCAUAUUUUAUUUUGAGAAAGAUGCCUAAUACCAAAGCCAAUUUACUAUGGAAUCUUUUGCUAUUCGAACAUUGCAAGAGCAAAAGUUUUUAGAAUAGAAAAUUUUAGAUACCUUUUAUUUCUUAUGCAGUUUCAUCAACAGCGUCAUGCAAGCAGAGUAUAAUAAUCGUUCCCCAGAUUUCACGAGGAUUUCAUAAUCGCGAUAAAAAGUAGAUUUAUUCGUACAGGUAGUAGAAACAUAGCAGGUCAGCCAGAGAUUCGAUUAAAGAGCUCGCAUACGUGACUGGUUUCGUAGGAUUUACUUUCCAUUGAACUCGAGCAUCUCAAAAUCUAGCGCGGCAUUAUCUCAGAGUUAAUCGAAAGAAGCUUCAUCAGACUCUUCGUCUGUUUCAGACAGACGGUUGUCGAAAGCUAGGUUUAUUAGAAUUUAGAUUAUAAGAUGGAUGUGAAAUUCUGUUCAUUAUCAUGUCCGUCCAUCGUCUUCAAAUUGCAGAUUCACAGCACUUUAAUUUAUCUAUCAGAUAAGUUUCGCUGAAUUAAAGAUUCGACACAGAGAAUGAGGGAAAUGUCGCAAAACAGUGGAAGAUUUGCACAAGAUCCUUCAGCUGACUCCUACACAGGAGGUGCUGGCUCUACCAUGAGGAACUCUGGUUGAAUUUUCAUUAGAAUUCAUCAAACCACCUUCGGACUUCAUUAUACUGUAAUAGUGGAGGGGCUGCAUAAUAGCAGACUCACUGUACAGACCUUAUUUGCAUACAUUAAAAAGGAAGAUACGGUGUAUGGGAUGCAUCUUCACACUUUAGAAUGCUAGACAUAUUGUAGGCAACGCACCAUUGUUAGAACAUUAUACUUCUUCAUACAUAGUAAUGAGUAAAUAUAAGAUAGUAUUGCAGAAUAUGUUUUCACAUGCUGUAAUAAUAUUUAUGUUACACGUAAAUACAAUGCACAAUGUAUUAAAUUAGUCAAUAUACUAAGGAGAACAUUGUUUUGUAUGUUAUCACAUUGAUCAGAUUUCCAAACACUAAUAUGGUACGAUAAAUAUGUAGACUAUAUGCAUGUUAAUAUUUCUGUGCUAUGUGCCAUAUACUACAAUAAUAGAGAUAACAUAGAAAAGCAAAGAAACAUUAUCUCACUCCUUUUAAUAAAUACGCAUCUAAUAGAAUACUUUGUAUAUUAUUAUAAUAAACGUCGAUAUCAUUUCUACAUAUAUCACGAUGUAUCAUGAUACUGGAUGCGCUAUAAAUUGUGUAUUACCUUCGUAUCUCGUGUAUAUCAGCAAAUAUAAUCGUGGCAUUCCCUCAUAACCCGCAAUACUAGAUAAUAUGUAUUAUACAAACACAGUUCUCCAUAUAUCAUUCCGCAGAUAUCUCCAUAUGUUACAAUGCUACAUGUUAUAAUGCAUAAAACAUACUGAACAUCUCAAUCGACCCAAUCACAAUCAUACGCACGUCUAUUUCCAUACUGCAUCAAUAAAUAUACUAAUCACAAAAAUACUAGUGGAAUAAAUAUUCCAUAAUGUACAAUGACAAUUUUCCAUAAUAGAUCUCCAUCGAUUAUCGCAUUAGAAUACCGAACAACUAAAUUUCUUAUCGACCAUGCCAAUAUUGUUGCGUUUUAUACAUUUGUGCAACAUCUGCAUUGUAAUAUACAAAUUUGUUGCAGAACACCUCCUCGUUCCAAUCAUAUUUCACUACUCGUAAACAUCUAAUUGACAAAUAUUUAUAAAUGUGCCUAUAUAUAAAAAGAAAAAAGAAAAUUUCAGGAUUAAAGCAUAUAAUGUAUAAAAUGCAUAUCCGUCACCCUAAUUGCAUCUACGCUAAGGAGAAGAAAGAUAAAACUCGAGUGUGAAUACACAUAACGCGUAGAGUACGUAUUCGCCACCCUAACUGCAGCCAUACUAAGCAAAAAAAAAAACCGAGAAUUCCUGCAUUACCAGGGAGUGAUUCGAUCAAUCGAAAGUGCAGGCGAGAAAAACAGCUGGUCCCAGGGUCACUGGGUUCGUCCGUUGUGAAUGGACCCGUACUCGACGCAAAGAACUGGUGGUGGGGGUUCAAUCAUCGCAAUGAAUUACAACGAGCCAGUCACCGAGAGUGACUCACUACGCUGCUCUAGCCGCUGCAGCUCGAUAAAAGUCUUUUUCUUUGCCCUCCUCGUGCCGGAGGAAUUCGAGAGAGCCCCGGGGAGCAGAAAGAGAGGCGCUCAAGGAACGCUAACAGAAGCGGCCGCUUAUGAAUCAUCUGUGUACGCGGGCAAAAUGCUUCGGCGAGGGGACACACAGUACAGUCGGAGAACAAGAGGACUUUCGUUCGUCGCGACUGCCAACCUAACGGGAUUUCUAGUGCUCUUAAUGGCUCCCUGCUAACUCUUUGUUCCUGGGGUUGUAUAACUGAAUUUCGAGAUGGAAAUGGGAAAUUAGUACUAAUUGAGGAUUUUCGCUUUCGGUAGGAGGCUAUCGGCAGAGUCGAAACAUUGGUUAUUGGUUAUGCAACAAUGAUUCCCCCACCAGGAAUGUUAUCAGUAAUGCCCACUCUUGGCAAUUUACUACGCGUGUCUUUCCAAACCCAAUCACGAAUUAAAAUUCUAUCUUAUUAAAUCCAAACCUAACCUAGAAUUAAAAUGCUUCUUUUUGUUUAGCCGUACCCAUCGCUAAGUGGACGUUUCUCGACCUAUUUACAAUGUAUUUGCAACCUAAUCUAGAACUAAGAUUAAUCUUCUAUUGCACUCUUUCCGAAUCGAACCUGAAACUAAAAUUCUAUGCUAAAUUCAAAGCUUCUUUUUAUCUUAGCCACCACCGACUAGGACUUCCCCGAUCUGGGUACAGAGUAUUUUUCGGCACCGACCGAAUCCAAACCUAACCUGAAGAAUCUAAAAUUAAAAUCUUAUUCUGCCGAAGCCAAACCUAGCCUAAAAUUAGAAUUCUACUCUAGCAAACGUAAAUCUAACCUAAAACUAAAAUUCUAGUCUACCAAAGCGAAACCUAACCUAGAACUGAAAUUAUGAUUCCACUCUCGUCUCUUAACCUUUAGCUAGGUUAUUAUAAAACAUUCUAGAUCUACUUAAAAAAACACUCCAUACCCGAUGAAAUUCGCAAUUCUGACAUAACAUCAAAUCUACGAUACAUAUGUAUACAUCUAACCUUCAAAGAGUCAACCUAACCUCGCAUCAGUGACCAAUUUCUAUGUAUCAGGGCUACGAGACGUUCGUUUCGCGGCGCAUCGCCAGAAUUCAUAUCGGCGAGAGAACCGUGAAAAAUCGGAAUCCACGUGAGCCAGCUCCUUAAGUAUCUCUCGGUAUCUUUUUUUAUUUUUUCGAACCGGUCGCUCUCUCGAGCCGCGCAUACCGUGCCAAUUAUUCUCCGCACGGAAGUUCCACGGCCUGGCGUGAGAGAUUGAUGCGAGAGUCGAUGCACUCGGCGCUUAUGUUUUAUUCAUACCUUUCACCGGGUUCGAUAAGAAAAUUAUAUUUAAAGCCGAACGCGGCCGAGUAAUGUCGCGGGAAAGGAGAAAAUCAAUCCGAUUCUAGUCUUUCUCGAAAGUCACGCCUCUUUUCUAUUUUAUUUGGGAUCGAAGCUACGAUGAUCUGGGUUUGGAACUUCGGUUUCUGUAAUUUUGUUACUUUGAUCGUACAUGCGGAGCAAAUUACGCAAUUAUAACUAUGACGGAUGGGAGACGGUUCAGAAUAUUUUAUUCAAGCUACUAUUGUUCACAAAUGUGUAUAUAAACACGAAUAUUAAACUUCCUUUGGUCCACUGUAUGUAGUACAUUGCACAGUGGAAUAUUUAAUGUAAUAUAAUUAUGUUAAAUUAAUUGGAAUUGAAUUAAUACGAGUUAUAAGUCACGUUCACAUAAAUUAGGUCUACUAUGGUCAGGUUAAAUUGAGUCGAAUAAAUUAAAUAGACGUGAUCCGUUAAAUGCA